AAUACGAUUAAUUUUAUAUGGUUCGGCGUCACAGAGUACCUGCAGCUACGUUUCGUUUAUUAAAUUCAAUUUGGAUUUUAAAUGUACCGCAUAGUGCUUUCGAGGCGGAAGACUGCAGCAGCAUCAGCACCACCUCUGGGCCGCGCGAAGGGAACAGCAUAGGAAUAGGCGAAAGAGGGAGGAGAAGGGGUCGUUGAUGGAAACCGACAGACCGGAAACAUCCGAGGAAAUGGAAACGAGAAACUCAAUAAACGGCUUGUAAAUCGGGGACGGCGUAGAAGUGAAAAAAAAAAAAA